AUUAUUUUGGCAGAUUAGUGCAAUAAAUUUAGAAUUUAUAUAUGUAAUUUUAGUAUUACAAAUAAUA
rnacentral:tRNA from 1 species